AAAUCCUUUUCAAACUUAUUCUCCUUGGCGGUGAAUAAGUUUGGGGGGAUGUGUCUUUGUGGGUGCAUUGUUUCUUUUUAGUUGUUUUUGUUUGUUUUGUUGUUGAGUUCGUUAGUCUUGCUUUGGUGGUUUCUCUGUGAUGAUACCUUGGUGGAGAUAUGAGUUGUGUAGGGAUUUGGAUGGAUAACUGGCUUAUGAUGAUUUCUGUUUAAAACUUGUGAAAUUGCAUGCGUUUGUGUUGAUAUUGUUGUGAUUGAGCAUGAUUGAUGAAUGAUAAGCAUGGUCUCUUGUUGUUGCAAUCAAUGAAAUAAGCUGUGAGGAUUUGAACCUUGACUGUCAUUAUUUUUACAGUCUUAUUUCUGUUUCUUGAGUGAUUGUUCGAGCUUGCAUGUGUCUCACUAGAACUUGUCUUGGUUUCUCCCUCGAGGCCACAUAGUGUGCUUAAUAACUUUGAGAUGAUAGAAGGCCGUCUUUGCUUGCCUAUUUAUCCCUUAUUUGUCCUAUAUCUUUAUAUGAUCCUAGUUCACCCCCUUUGAACCUUAUUUUUCCAUAUUCUUUGAUUUAGCUAUGGGUGGGAGCUUGGAGAUUAUUUGAUAGGAGAUAAUUGGGUUGUGGAGAUAAAUGAUCAUGAGUUAUGUUUUGUGGUUUUAAAUUGAAAAUCCUAGUACCCUACAAGUUGUUGAAAGAAAAAAAAAGAAAAAAGAAAAAAAAAACAUGGUGAAAAAAAAAGAGAAAAGAAUUGGAAAAAAAUGGGUACAUAGGAUGCACUAGGGAGACAUAAUGUUAUGAGAAAUAAUUGUUGAGUUGUGAUGAUUUUCGUAUUGAAAAAUUUGGUUUUGCUGAAGGUGGAGGAUAGAAUUGAGUAAGAACGCUAUAAGGUUGGUGAUUGUGCUACAUUGAGAAUUAUCUUUUAGUCACUUAGCCA
rnacentral:lncRNA from 1 species